rnacentral:lncRNA from 1 species
AGAUAAGUAUUCUAUAGAGUAUCAUGAGGAUAUAUACUUACUUAAAAUGACACUUUUUAAUUAUUCAGAAGGACACAGCUAAAGAGAGAAUUCUGAAGAAGAUAUCUAUGAGAAGGAAAAGUGCUAUGAAAAAGUUUGCUGAAAGAGAUGAACAUGUUCAUAGAUCACAAACAGAAGAACUUGUAUGUCAGAAUCUACAGGAAGAUGUGGCUAAUGUAGAAAAUCAGAAGAGUAUAACUGAAACAUUGCGAGAGAGAGUAAGAAAGAAACUGAAAGCUGUCAAGGCUGAAAAUUUAGUCAGUUUAGAAGACUCCACUACUAUACCGCACAGGGUAGAGUUCCUUGAAAAGAAGAAAUCGUGUACAAGAU